rnacentral:rRNA from 1 species
UGGGGAAUAUUGCACAAUGGAGGGAACUCUGAUGCAGCGACGCCGCGUGAACGAAGAAGGCUUUCGAGUCGUAAAGUUCUUUUAUACGGGAAGAUAAUGACGGUACCCUGUGAGGAAGCCCCGGCUAACUACGUGCCAGCAGCCGCGGUAAUACGUAGGGGGCUAGCGUUAUCCGGAUUUACUGGGCGUAAAGGGUGCGUAGGUGGUCUUUCAAGUCGGUGGUUAAAGGCUACGGCUCAACCGUAGUUAGCCUCCGAAACUGGAAGACUUGAGUGCAGGAGAGGAAAGUGGAAUUCCCAGUGUAGCGGUGAAAUGCGUAGAUAUUGGGAGGAACACCAGUAGCGAAGGCGGCUUUCUGGACUGCAACUGACACUGAGGCACGAAAGCGUGGGUAGCAAACAGG